UACGUAGGGUGCAAGCGUUAAUCGGAAUUACUGGGCGUAAAGCGUGCGCAGGCGGUUAUGCAAGACAGAGGUGAAAUCCCCGGGCUCAACCUGGGAACUGCCUUUAUGACUGCAUAGCUAGAGUACGGUAGAGGGGGAUGGAAUUCCGCGUGUAGCAGUGAAAUGCGUAGAUAUGCGGAGGAACACCGAUGGCGAAGGCAAUCCCCUGGACCUGUACUGACGCUCAUGCACGAAAGCGUGGGGAGCAAACAGG
rnacentral:rRNA from 1 species